AAGUGUCUUCCCUAAACUCUCAUGUCAAUCUUCAUUAAAUUUGCUGCUUUCCCAGACAAGUACCCAUGGAACCUCAUUAUGUGAACUUAGGAAUACAAACUAGAGUAGCGACACAAAGUCUUUGUUUCAUGACAUAUAUAGGUUCAAGUUACUAAGGACAAUAAUUAAUGUACAGGGCUCACACAGUGAUUGGAUAGGGAUCCACCACAUCACUCUUCUGUAUGUCGCUUCUUUUGUACACAUGGUACAAUUCUCAUGUUACGGUGGAGUGCCAAAAAAAAUGUCGCUCUAGCUAAAAUAACACCGUACGGACAGUAGUUAAUCGCUCUCUAGCGUUUAACCUUAGAAAACAUCCCUAGGUACUUCAAAUAGUAUCUAGUAUGAAUCUAAUGUUUGGCAACCCAAAACAAGGCUACACCUCUUACAAGUGUUCGGUAUGUAAUGAUACCUCUUCUUAGACCUAGCCAAGGCGACUAAAUCAUAGUGUCUCUAGAAUACCCGAGAAUUUGCAAAUAUUAUUGAUGAAUAAAUUAAUUAGAGUCGAAUAUUUAUUUGAAUAUAAUUAAGAAUUGUUGUGGCAUGAGUUGUAAAACCUCGAUUCAAUUAAAUAAGUAUUGUGAUCUAUAUGAUAGCUAAGCAAUGUGAUAAGACUAAUAAAGAUCUUAUCAUAAAGUCAUGAGAAUUGCCUAGUGUGCAUAAUGAGGAACGAAGAAAUUCACUAAGUGAAUUAGAAGAAUAAUAGUAUAACAAGAGGAAGAUUAAUUAUGUGUAUGUAUAUAAAUUCAUAGACUCUUUAACUAGUAGUAUUAUCGAUUUGGAAUUUAGUUCAUGUAAUAUGAAACUAGUAUGGUGAUAGAAGUCGGAACUGACAUGAAGCUAAACCAGUUUGGCACUACCAGGGACCAGUGCAGUUGCGCCCUCUCUGCAGUAC
rnacentral:lncRNA from 1 species